UACGUAGGGGGCUAGCGUUGUCCGGAAUCAUUGGGCGUAAAGCGCGUGUAGGCGGCUUGGUAAGUCUGCUCUGAAAGCCCGGGGCUCAACCCCGGGAGGCGGGUGGAUACUGUCAAGCUCGAGUCCGGAAGACGGAGUGUGGAAUUCCUGGUGUAGCGGUGAAAUGCGUAGAUAUCGGGAGGAACACCUAUGGCGAAAAGCAGGCUUCUGGUCCGAUCUCUGACGCUGAGCUGCGAAA
rnacentral:rRNA from 1 species